UUUUGGAGCCUAUUUGAAGCACUGAGAAGCUCUCCCUCUCCUCCUUAGGUUUCAUCCAUCAUCCAUGGUGGUUUUCCCACUUAUGUGGUUGAAGAGGAAGAUGGACUACACAUUAGAGGAGGAAAAGCGAAGGAUAGGCAUGAUUGAAGUUUGGAGUAGCUGAUAGGUGCCUUCGAAAAGGACCUUAAUCUUCUUUAUGGUUUCAAUUUCUUCUCUGUAUCUUUAAUUUGUAAACCUUAGAUUUUCCAAAGAUUUAUUUCUAUUUUUUGAGAUUAGCACACACACACAACGUGAUAGCAAAACUAUAAUAAAUGAUAAAGAUUUCUAUAUUGGUUGCACUCAUAACUGGAAUAAAAAGUCGAUUUUCUAUACCGGUUACACCUAUAACCGGGUAUAAAAGUAG
rnacentral:lncRNA from 1 species